UACGUAGGGUGCAAGCGUUAAUCGGAAUUACUGGGCGUAAAGCGUGCGCAGGCGGUUUUGUAAGUCUGACGUGAAAUCCCCGGGCUUAACCUGGGAAUGGCGUUGGAGACUGCAAGGCUAGAGUUUGGCAGAGGGGGGUAGAAUUCCACGUGUAGCAGUGAAAUGCGUAGAGAUGUGGAGGAACACCGAUGGCGAAGGCAGCCCCCUGGGUCAAAACUGACGCUCAUGCACGAAAGCGUGGGGAGCAAACAGG
rnacentral:rRNA from 1 species